AUUUUGAUACAAUAUUCCUUGCGGUGAGACGAUUUAGCUUUUAGGCUAUAACUACGGUGAAUUUGGUAUUCUAUCGACUGUUGAAGAGCACUUACGUCUCGUCUUCGAGGAUCACUUCAUUGAAAUCAGCCUUUUGGAGCGUUUUUCAUUUAUUUCAAACUAACUUUGUCAACAAAUACAUCGACAUGGGGAAUUUAUGUAGCUGUAUGGGUAAAAACGAAGCAAAAGCUGAAGAAACACCAAAGGAAAAAGCGACAGAAGAGAAUGGAGAACAACAACAGCCAGAAAACGUUGAAGAAGCACAAAAAGAAGUAAAGGAAGAAACGAAAGGAAGAAAAGGCCGAAGCUAAUGGCGGAGAAGCACAAAAAGCAGAAGAAAAUCACGACGAAGCGAAUAAGAUGUCAAACGAAAUUGUCAACGAUGCAGUAGCAGAAGCCAGUCAGCAACAAGAAGCUGAAACGGACAAAUGAUUUAAAAAAUAAACUUCAGACAGAUUAAUGGACCGAAUAUUUUUAUCUGAGCAGAUUGGCACAAACUGAUUAUUUUAUUAUAUCUACCACCCAUGACCACAAACUAUUUUUUACAAACUUUUUGUCGUUAACAUUUUACCUUACUAUUAACAACCAUUACCGGAUGUGACUGUUAUCUACAAGGGCGAAGGACAUUGCAAAUAGCAGGACUUUCUAGAAGAUUUGCGACCGAGCCGUCUCCACUCCUCCUCGAGUCUCUUCCGGUGAUGACGUCAUAAUUCGUCUCUUAUUAUUCUCUCAUUUCGAUUAAAUUUGAGAGAAUAAUAUUUAGUUAGUCAAUUACUAUUAUGUCAUUCUCAACCAAACGUGGCUGCUGCUGACUCAAGAUUUUACCUUCGAUUUAUUAUUCGCUUACGUUUGUUUUUGGAUGAUGUAAUCGUGAUUUGCAAUUGUCAUUUUUUGCCAUUCUUUUUUAUCCGUUUCGUAAAUUAAAGCAUUGUAGAUAGAUACUUUUAUCAGCGGGUAAAACUCGAUCUUCGUUAGAAAAUCAUUUGAUUUUUCCACCACUCAUUUGAAACAAAAAUUUGCGUCCAUGAUAUUUAAAAUCGUACAGAAAAACCUUUAUAUAUGAAAAAAAAUUACAUGCUGAUCCGAAUUUAUUGUCAAUGUAAAGAAAAUUGAUCAUCGUAUUUUUAUUUUUCAUUUGACUUGCCUGUGGCGACACUAAAGCAUCAUCGUACCGUCGAAAGCAGUAUUAUCAGGAAUAGAUAGAAUCCUAUUAUAUUCCUGUGAUUUAUCCAUCAACUCGCGACAAACCCAUGUGAAUAGUCUCCCCAUAGACGUUUAUACAUAUACCAUUCCAAUUAUUAUGUAAAAUUGAUGUUUUAACUGUUGAAUGUGUAUGUAGCAUAUAUAUUCCACCAUAUUUUAUUAUUGUAAGGUUUUCCAUUUGGAACAAAUUGCAUCUGAAAGAUCCUGUGAACUAAGCACGUUUGGAAAUUUGAAUGUGUAUUUUUUAGUGUGGAUGAAAUGAAUGAGUACAAUACAUUUAAGUAAUCUAAAA